GGAGGAUCCGAGCGUUAUCCGGAUUUAUUGGGUUUAAAGGGAGCGUAGGCGGACGCUUAAGUCAGUUGUGAAAGUUUGCGGCUCAACCGUAAAAUUGCAGUUGAUACUGGGUGUCUUGAGUACAGUAGAGGCAGGCGGAAUUCGUGGUGUAGCGGUGAAAUGCUUAGAUAUCACGAAGAACUCCGAUUGCGAAGGCAGCCUGCUGGACUGUAACUGACGCUGAUGCUCGAAAGUGUGGGUAUCAAACAGGAUUAGAUACCCUGGUAGUCCACACAGUAAACGAUGAAUACUCGCUGUUUGCGAUAUACAGUAAGCGGCCAAGCGAAAGCGUUAAGUAUUCCACCUGGGGAGU
rnacentral:rRNA from 1 species